UACGGGGGGGGCAAGCGUUGUUCGGAAUUACUGGGCGUAAAGGGCGCGUAGGCGGCCUGCUAAGUCGGAUGUGAAAUCCCUCGGCUCAACCGAGGAACUGCAUCCGAUACUGGCGGGCUUGAAUCCGGGAGAGGGAUGUGGAAUUCCAGGUGUAGCGGUGAAAUGCGUAGAUAUCUGGAGGAACACCGGUGGCGAAGGCGGCAUCCUGGACCGGUAUUGACGCUGAGGAGCGAAAGCCAGGGGAGCAAACGGG
rnacentral:rRNA from 1 species